UAUGAAAAACCAACUAAGAUUUUUUUGUAAUUAUGUAGUUCAAUUGAUCUUGUUGAUUUUAAUUAGUUUUAGGUUAAUUUUUUAUACUAAUUUUUGUUUAUUUUAUCUUAAUGAUAUUUAUUUUGUAGGUUUUAAUUUUAUUUUUUAAGGUAUCUUAGAAUUAGUUAAGUCUUAUUGGGCUAUAUAAGUUUGUGCCAGCAUAUGCGGUUAUACAAUCAGCUGAAAUUAAUUUUUUUGAUAAUUUAUUUAUUUAUUUAUUUGGUUUUUUUAAAAUUUUUUUUAGGUGAAAUUUUAUUUUUUUUUGUUCUUGGUUUAGAUUAUAAGAAAGCUCAUUUUUAAACUAGGAUUAGAUACCCUAUUAUUUGAGUUGUUAUUUUUAUUUUAGUAUUAAUAGUUAUGUUCUUUAAAUUAAAAAGAUUUGGCGGUAAUUUAGUCUUUUCAGAGGAACCUGUUCUUUAAUUGAUAGUCCACGUUGAAUUUUACCUUAAUUUUGCUUGUAUACCUCUGUCAUUGAAUGUUUUAUUAGGAGACUUUCAUUUAUUAUUUGUUAUAUAUUUAAUGUCAAGUCAAGGUUCAGUUAUAUUAGGGGUUGAAAUGGGUUAUAUUUAAUUUUAUUUAUAGGAUCAUAAUUUGGAAUUUUUAUGUUAAAUAGGAUUUGAAAGUAAGAUUAAUUUAUUUAUUUAUUCUGAUUUUAGCUCUAUAUUAUGUACAUAUCGCCCGUCACUCCCAUCUUUAAAAUGGGAUAAGUCGUAACAAAGUAAUUUUACUGGAAGGUGAAGUUGGUUAU
rnacentral:ncRNA from 1 species